rnacentral:rRNA from 1 species
GUCUAUAGCCAUGUCACCCUGAACAAGCCUGAUCCUGUCUGAUCUUGGAAGCUAAACAGGGUUGGGCCUGGUUAGUACUUGGAUGGGAGACCACCUAGGAAGACCAGGUGCUGUAGGCA